rnacentral:rRNA from 1 species
UGGGGAAUAUUGCACAAUGGACGGAAGUUUGAUGCAGCGACGCCGCGUGGAGGGUGUAGGCCUUCGGGUUGUGAACUCCUUUUUCUCGCGAAAAAGGCACAGUUUUGGCUGUGUUGAUGGUAGUGGGGGAAGAAGCGCCGGCUAACUACGUGCCAGCAGCCGCGGUAAUACGUAGGGCGCGAGCGUUGUCCGGAUUUAUUGGGCGUAAAGAGCUCGUAGGUGGUUCGUCGCGUCUGUCGUGAAAGCCAGCAGCUUAACUGUUGGUCUGCGGUGGGUACGGGCGGGCUUGAGUGCGGUAGGGGUGACUGGAAUUCCUGGUGUAGCGGUGGAAUGCGCAGAUAUCAGGAGGAACACCGAUGGCGAAGGCAGGUCACUGGGCCGUUACUGACACUGAGGAGCUAAAGCGUGGGGAGCGAACAGG